rnacentral:rRNA from 1 species
UACGUAUGGAGCAAGCGUUAUCCGGAUUUACUGGGUGUAAAGGGAGCGCAGGCGGUCUGGCAAGUCUGAUGUGAAAGGCCGGGGCUCAACCCCGGGACUGCAUUGGAAACUGUCAGACUGGAGUGUCGGAGAGGUAAGCGGAAUUCCUAGUGUAGCGGUGAAAUGCGUAGAUAUUAGGAGGAACACCAGUGGCGAAGGCGGCUUACUGGACGAUGACUGAAGCUGAGGCUCGAAAGCGUGGGGAGCAAACAGG